rnacentral:lncRNA from 1 species
UCCGUCUUCGUCCCUUAUGCUUGCCACUCCCAGGUCCGCUCCAAAGACGAUUCUACAUUCUCACUACCAUUACAACCGUUCCCUAACAAUUGAUAAUGUCCUAUACUACUUACUCUCCCGCUCAAUCACGGAGACGAGUUUUCCACGGUUUCCACCCCUCCCUCCAUACCGCAGCAACACGAGUUUUUUCCACCCCUUUCAGAACGCGCUCUUCGCGCCACAAAGCCGCCCCAAGACGCGCGAGCAAUGAGCAUCGAGCUUAAACAUAUCGCAAACGUCAAACAUAAUAUAACGGGAUUAAUAUAUAUCGCGCACGUGCGACAUGUUUGUCACAAGGCGCAAAAAAUAAUUAUAAAAGGAAUGCAACACGAGGACUUCCCAAGAGGUCACCCAUCCUAGUACUACUCUCGCCCAAGCACGCUUAACUUCGGAGUUCUGACGGGAUCCGGUGCUUUAGUGCUGGUAUGAUCGCAUCUGACAUGUUUCCCCGUCUUCGUCCCUUAUGCUUGCCACUCCCAGGUCCGCUCCAAAGACGAUUCUACAUUCUCACUACCAUUACAACCGUUCCCUAACAAUGGAUAAUGUCCUAUACUACUUACUCUCCCGCUCAAUCACGGAGACAAGUUUUCCACGGUUUCCACCCCUCCCUCCAUACCGCAGCAACACGAGUUUUUUCCACCCCUUUCAGAACGCGCUCUUCGCGCCACAAAGCCGCCCCAAGACGCGCGAGCAAUGAGCAUCGAGCUUAAACAUAUCGCAAACGUCAAACAUAAUAUAACGGGAUUAAUAUAUAUCGCGCACGUGCGACAUGUUUGUCACAAGGCGCAAAAAAUAAUUAUAAAAGGAAUGCAACACGAGGACUUCCCAGGAGGUCACCCAUCCUAGUACUACUCUCGCCCAGGCACGCUUAACUUCGNNNNNNNNNNCUUUAGUGCUGGUAUGAUCGCAUCCGACAUGUUUCCCCGUCUUCGUCCCUUAUGCUUGCCACUCCCAGGUCCGCUCCAAAGACGAUUCUACAUUCUCACUACCAUUACAACCGUUCCCUAACAAUGGAUAAUGUCCUAUACUACUUACUCUCCCGCUCAAUCACGGAGACGAGUUUUCCACGGUUUCCACCCCUCCCUCCAUACCGCAGCAACACGAGUUUUUUCCACCCCUUUCAGAACGCGCUCUUCGCGCCACAAAGCCGCCCCAAGACGCGCGAGCAAUGAGCAUCGAGCUUAAACAUAUCGCAAACGUCAAACAUAAUAUAACGGGAUUAAUAUAUAUCGCGCACGUGCGACAUGUUUGUCACAAGGCGCAAAAAAUAAUUAUAAAAGGAAUGCAACACAAGGACUUCCCAGGAGGUCACCCAUCCUAGUACUACUCUGGCCCAAGCACGCUUAACUUCGGAGUUCUGAUGGGAUCCGGUGCUUUAGUGCUGGUAUGAUCGCAUCCGAUAUGUUUCCCCGUCUUCGUCCCUUAUGCUUGCCACUCCCAGGUCCGCUCCAAAGACGAUUCUACAUUCUCACUACCAUUACAACCGUUCCCUAACAAUGGAUAAUGUCCUAUACUACUUACUCUCCCGCUCAAUCACGGAGACGAGUUUUCCACGGUUUCCACCCCUCCCUCCAUACCGCAGCAACACGAGUUUUUUCCACCCCUUUCAGAACGCGCUCUUCGCGACACAAAGCCGCCCCAAGACGCGCGAGCAAUGAGCAUCGAGCUUAAACAUAUCGCAAACGUCAAACAUAAUAUAACGGGAUUAAUAUGUAUCGCGCACGUGCGACAUGUUUGUCACAAGGCGCAAAAAAUAAUUAUAAAAGGAAUGCAACACGAGGACUUCCCAGGAGGUCACCCAUCCUAGUACUACUCUCGCCCAAGCACGCUUAACUUCGGAGUUCUGAUGGGAUCCGGUGCUUUAGUGCUGGUAUGAUCGCAUCCGCCAUGUUUCCCCGUCUUCGUCCCUUAUGCUUGCCACUCCCAGGUCCGCUCCAAACACGAUUCUACAUUCUCACUACCAUUACAACCGUUCCCUAACAAUGGAUAAUGUCCUAUACUACUUACUCUCCCGCUCAAUCACGGAGACGAGUUUUCCACGGUUUCCACCCCUCCCUCCAUACCGCAGCAACACGAGUUUUUUUCCACCCCUUUCAGAACGCGCUCUUCGCGCCACAAAGCCGCCCCAAGACGCGCGAGCAAUGAGCAUCGAGCUUAAACAUAUCGCAAACGUCAAACAUAAUAUAACGGGAUUAAUA